CACCAGCAGCUCAAGUGGUGACCACGUUUACUGGGUUUAAAGCGUGCGUAGUCGGUUCGGCCAGUUUUCUGUGAAAUCCUGCGGCUCAACCGCAGGGAUCGCAGAAAAUACUACCGGACUCGGGACCGGGGCAGGAGUGGGGUAUUCUGGGGGUAGCGGUGAAAUGCUAUAAUCCCUGGAAGACCACCGGUAGCGAAGGCGCCACUCUGGAACGGGUCUGACGAUGAGGUACGAGAGCUAGGGGAGCGAACAGGAUUAGAUACCCUGGUAGCCCUAGCCGUAAACGAUGCGGAUUUAGUGUUCCCUGAACCUCGUGUUCGGGGAGUGCUGAAGGGAAACCGUUAAAUCCGCCACCUGGGGAGUACGGUCGCAAGGCUGAAACUUAAAGGAAUUGGCGGGGGAACACCACAAGGGGUGGAUGCUGCGGUUCAAUUGGAUACAACCCCGGAAAACUCACCAGGGGCGACGGCACUAUGAAGGCCAGGCUAAAGGUCUUGCCGGAGGAGCCGAGAGGUAGUGCAUGGCCGUCGUCAGCUCGUACCGUGAGGCGUACGGUUAAGUCCGUUAACGAGCGAGACCCGUACCAUUAUUUGCAACCUUCGAGGAGACUUGAGGGGUACUAUAGUGGGACUGCAUGCGAUGAGUGUGAGGAAGGCGCGGGCAACGGUAGGUCAGUAUGCUCCGAAUCUCCUGGGCUACACGCGGCAUACAAUGGCAGGUACAAUGGGUCGCAACGCCGAAAGGCGGAGCUAAUCCCCUAAAGCCUGUCCAAGUACGGAUUGAGGGUUGAAACUCACCCUCAUGAAGCUGAAAUCCCUAGUAAUCGCUUUUUACCAUAAAGCGGUGAAUAUGUCCCUGUUCCU
rnacentral:rRNA from 1 species